rnacentral:rRNA from 1 species
CCUACGGGUGGCAGCAGUGAGGAAUAUUGGUCAAUGGGCGCGAGCCUGAACCAGCCAAGUAGCGUGAAGGAUGACUGCCCUACGGGUUGUAAACUUCUUUUAUAAAGGAAUAAAGUGAGGCACGUGUGCCUCUUUGUAUGUACUUUAUGAAUAAGGAUCGGCUAACUCCGUGCCAGCAGCCGCGGUAAUACGGAGGAUCCGAGCGUUAUCCGGAUUUAUUGGGUUUAAAGGGAGCGUAGAUGGGUUGUUAAGUCAGUUGUGAAAGUUUGCGGCUCAAACGUAAAAUUGCAAUUGAUACUGGCAGUCUUGAGUACAGUUGAGGUAGGCGGAAUGCGUGGUGUAGCGGUGAAAUGCUUAGAUAUCGCGAAGAACUCCGAUUGCGAAGGCAGCUUACUAAACAGCCACUGACAUUGAUGCUCGAAAGUGAGGGUAUCAAACAGGAUUAGAUACCCCAGUAGUC